CCACCAGCCUGAACUGUCACAAACCACUGAUGUAAUUAGAAUUCUGGAACGCGAGGUCUCUUUGUUACAGCAGCUAGUGUCAGCUUAACCAACCCAGACUUGCACAUCUUGGUAUCCCCAGUGCCUCCAACGGAGCAUGGCUCUGUUAUCGACUCAAUGAUCAAAACGCAACACGUAUACCUGGGAAGCAGAGCUCCCCAGAAUGGCUCCCAGUUCUAGGAAAAACAAAAUAAAAGCUUACUCCUUAAUAUGAGGGGAAAAGGUCAGAAAGAAAUGGAAACACUGGAGUCAGCAAGUAUCUGGCCGAGCCAUCUGGAGGAUACAUACAAUCCAGACAAUAUCAGCAUACGAGGUCAUCAUCUUCUAUUUCUUCCGCCAGCAUUAUCUCCCUUCAUUUAAGAGCAGAACACUCCCCGUUCCCUCAUCCCUGUGCGUAAACGCAGUAUGUUUAGGUGAGUUGGUCAGAGGACACAGAUUGAGCUGGCCCCCUUGCUCCCUGAAGGACAGGAGUGUCUUCUGAAUGCUGGGACGUCACUCGCCUGGAUGCUUGCCUUAACAAGAUGACAGCCACAGGACCUUCUGGUUGAUGACAGCUGAUGGCGCUCCUGGUUCCAGAGAACAGAUCGGGCUGUCUAGAGUCGAAGAGAAGUUGUUGCACGUCGUUCUUGGCGCCUGGAAGAUCACGGACUCCUUUGAGAAUGUGAGGAAAGAUGUGGACGCACUUCCCGUUAAAGCAUGCUGUGGAAAAUCACUGAAGGAAGAGGGACUGAAACAAUGGGCCAGCCCUCGCUAAGAAAACACCCAACCCAACACGCACACGACUCAAGACGCGUCUCAUCUCUAUGAUUCGUACUUGUUUUUCUGUCUCAGGUCAUUUAUCUGAACACGGAGACCUUUUCGUUUCCAGCCAGAGUAUGAAAGAAGGUUUGGCUUCAUAAUCUUAGGUUGAAAUUUUGGCACACGUGUAUUAGCUCCCAUAUUCUCGGGUUGCAUCUUCUCCACAGCAAUAAAUCUCAGAAAAAAAAAUAAAAGUAAGAUGAUGCAGUAUACCA